UCUUCCUCCCUCUGUAGCAGUAGGGAGGUUUUCCAGGUAUGUGGGAGGCAAGCUGCUUGGAGCCAUUAUAUUGCUUGUUCUCUGCAUGAUCUCCUUCAUUAAAUAAUCUUUUAAUGCAACAUUAAUAGUAAUUGCAAGAUUACAGUUCAAAAUAUUUGAUAACAUCACACUAUGCAGUUGAAAAGCUACCGAUCUCUUCUCUAAAGCUGGCUGUGGGGGGCAAGCCUACUGUGGAACACCACCAAUCCCUUGAACUGAAAGCACUGCAAUUCCCUUUGUUAUUUCCAUUCCAGGUCUCAACAUCUUACAGAUGAUAAGUGGUACAAUCUAGCAGUGGAGGGUGAAAGAAUAGAAAAUAACUGGUUAACUUUUUGUUUGUUUGUUUGUUUUGUUUUGUUUUGUUUGUUUGUUUGUUUUCUAAUAAGUUUUUAAAGGACAUCAACAUGGAAUUUUUUAGUGAUUCACAAAGUAGUGGACUGUUGAUCACCUAUUAGGGGAUGUUAUUUAAGUAGCAAUAUUUGUAUCCAUAACCUUUGUUGUCUCUCGAAUAUCCAUAAGUAUUGCAGAAAAUUAUUCAUAUUUUACCUACGUUGAGCUCCCUGUUUCUUCUGCCAUAUUCUUCACAUUGUAUACGUAAAGAUGAUUAGGGAGUUUGCAACCUUACAUCCUAGAAAGCAUUAGCAAAAACAUACUUAGAAGUCUACUACUCUGUCCAAGUCAAAUAUCCUUUCUACCCUGAUUAGCAUUGACAUUUUUAGACUGGCGACUCCUUUGGAAGGAAGAAUAAAUUGUAAUCUAUUGUUCUCUGUGAAAAGAUGCCAAAUAUUUAGGUUUAGCCAAACUCCAUUUUUGCAUUCCCACCUAAAUAUUCAUCAGUAUUCUCAAAAUUGGCCACCCACAGGUUAAGAACUGGAAAACCGCUUGAUGUCUCUCUCCUCUUUCCAGUAAAUGUAAAUCUUCAAUAUGAUGUUUGAUGUUGAUUCUAAAUUUUAAUAUCUGUAGUAGCAGUACUAGUAACGAUAACAUUUCUUACCUACAGAAGUACUCUGGAUCACAGUUAGAAGAAAAUGCUACCAGUUCUUUUGUUAUUAUUUUUGUUGGGGGGAGAGGGGGAGGCUGUGUGGUGAUGAUGGGGGAAGAACGGUUGUGGAAAGAUACCCUUCCCCCCAGCCAGGAAAUAGCCAUUUC
rnacentral:lncRNA from 1 species